GCAAACAUGUUUCCCGACAACAAGAAAAUAAAUGACGGUAGACUCCGGCUCCUGGUAAACUUUUAAGCGACGAAGCGCGAGAACUGACUCUAGCCUUUUCCGACGAGACUGUUCGAUGUCCUUCACAGGGUGGUCUUCGGAUACAGCGCAAUAAUCUGUGAGAAAUAGCUACAUUCUCGUACGGGACACCGCUUCGGGAGGACCACGUGACAGAUAGCUCGCGUGAGGUGAAGGAAGCAUCAUAACAGGUCUCCAAACAUGGGAAUGAAUGGAUUUAGAAGGAUCUUUGUGACCUUUCUUUGUUUUGGCCGCUGCUGUUGCAUCCAGAGACCUAGAGGAAUGAAGGUCUCUCUUCCUGUCCUGCUACAGGGGUCUGGCAGUUGUCUUGGUAUCUUAUCUGAUGUUUCUGAACAUUUGUUUAUGUUUUUCCACCGUCAUCCAAUCAUUGUGGGUCACAUCUCCUUUCAGUUAGAGAGGGACUGGUCCUUGGAAUACCAAUUUGACUGUUGUUCACUACAGGGGAGAAAAUUACAGAAUGUUCAUAUUUGUAGUGAUAAUUUAACAGUAGACUUAUGUUAUUUUACAGUGUCCUUUUACAGUUAAACAAGAAAGUACUGAGUAAUAUAUAGGUACCUACUUGGACAUAAUAUGGGUUAAGGUAAGAUUAAGGUUAGGUACAGAGUUAGUACUUAGUAAGUAGAUAGUAAAGACUGCUUGUGAUCCUUACAGAAUCAAAUAAACUAAUAUUAACACAUUUUACUUUAUUUUAAAGUGUUACUGACAUGAUAUGUUAUUAUGACACAUUGUCCUAACAGUAUUUUCAGGCCUUUGGAAAACUUUAACACGUCUUCAACAGUAGUCUACCAAUAUCAUAAUACUGUGUCCUAUGUACUGUAAUUAUCCAUAGAUCUGCUGCUGCUGUAAAAACACAUACAGCUCUUUCACACUGAGUCAUUAAAAUUUCAAUCAAAGCUGUGGCUGCUAUAUUAGGUGUAAGAGGUAGUUUAUGACAGAGAAGUGUUGCGUAAAUUGUGCUCUCACACACCUCCCAUUUACGGGAUGAUGGAGGUUCCAAUCUGUCGUAAUGGACUUGAAUCACAUCUCGCCUUGUGUGGCCCACAGUAAAGGAUAUUGACAAGCAAAGAUCUGUGAGAGACAGAUUUCUGUAAUAUCUGGGGGAUGGGUACAGAUUUUAAAAAAGGCAAGGGAUGAUUCAUUAUAGAUGUAUCAUUUUUAUUCUUGUUCCUGGAAGACAAACACCUGUAGUCUGUGAGGUGAGAUUACAGCUCUGAUCCAUCCCCCACAUACCCCUCCGGCAAACAGCAGACACUUUCCACAACAUUUCCACAACUGCCAUUGAUAUAACUGUGUACUGUCUUCAAGAUCAGCCAAGGACAGUUAAUAGUUUAAGUAAAGCGAUUUGUCUUCCUGAGUACACAAACAUAUGUGGUCAGUACAUGAGUGGACACAACAUAAAUAAUGCUUGUGAAAUAGUUUGUAUGGCAGAGUCUUAAAGUCCUCCAUAUGACCCCAGUUGAUGAAUCAAAUGUUGAUUGAUGUUCAACGUUAUAAACGUCAGCAUAUUGGAUCAUUGAAAAACUGGACCAUCGCUUCUUAUCAGCAUUGGUUCUUCAACUGGGGUCAUAUGCAUUGCCACUGAGUUCACUUUGCAGGGUUUUUGCAUUCACUUUGAGGGACCACCUGCAAGAAUAUCGACUCACAGAGAAAGACUAUUUACAGAACAAAGAAAGUCAUUACCGUGAGUUUUUAUUUUUGUAGCUUUAUUUGUGGAUCUUUAUCUUUAAUUUUACAGUAGGUAUAAAAUUGUAUUUGUCUUUCCUAUUGUGCACCGAACAGUCUAAACAAUAACACCACUGACAAGAGAAGUGAGUAACACUGAUUAUAUCAUUACAGUCGCAUCUGUCAGGGGGUGGAAUAUAUUAGGUGGCAAGUAAACAGUCACUUCUAGAAUUUUGUUAGAUUGGAAGCAAGCAUAAACCUCAAAAAGAAGACUUAGACGAGAGCCAAAUAGUGAUGGACCGAUUGACCCUGAAUAUGUAGAAAUGAUUGUUAAAACAUACACAAUUUUGUAAUGAGUGAAAAUUUAGGAUGGGACGUGAUUUUAUACAUCAUUAUUUGAAUAA